AAUCCUGGCUCAGGAUGAACGCUAGCUACAGGCUUAACACAUGCAAGUCGAGGGGCAGCAUUUUAGUUUGCUUGCAAACUAAAGAUGGCACCGGCGCACGGGUGAGUAACACGUAUCCAACCUGCCGAUAACUCGGGGAUAGCCUUUCGAAAGAAAGAUUAAUAUCCGAUAGUAUAUUUUCUCCGCAUGGCGAGAAUAUUAAAGAAUUUCAGUUAUCGAUGGGGAUGCGUUCCAUUAGUUUGUUGGCGGGG
rnacentral:rRNA from 1 species